rnacentral:misc_RNA from 1 species
AAGGAUCAUUAUAGAAAUUCAAAGGAUGUGCUGGCACCCCUCUUGGUGUGCAUGUGCACUCCAUAAAUCAUCCACGUCCACCUGUGCAUCCAAUGUAGAGCCCCAUUUAGGGACUCUAUGCAAUUUUUUGAUUCAUUCCUUUUUUGACAUUGCACGAAAAGAUGUUUGUAAUCUAAUACAACUUUCAACAAUGGAUCUCUUGGUUCUC